GGGUGUAAAGCGUGCGCAGGCGGUUGUGUAAGACAGAUGUGAAAUCCCCGGGCUCAACCUGGGAACUGCGUUUGUGACUGCACGACUAGAGUACGGCAGAGGGAGGUGGAAUUCCGCGUGUAGCAGUGAAAUGCGUAGAGAUGCGGAGGAACACCGAUGGCGAAGGCAGCCUCCUGGGCCAGUACUGACGCUCAUGCACGAAAGCGUGGGGAGCAAACAGGAUUAGAUACCCUGGUAGUCCACGCCCUAAACGAUGUCAACUAGUUGUUCGGUGAGGAGACUCAUUGAGUAACGCAGCUAACGCGUGAAGUUGACCGCCUGGGGAGUACGGCCGCAAGGUUAAAACU
rnacentral:rRNA from 1 species